AUUGAACGCUGGCGGCAUGCCUUACACAUGCAAGUCGAACGGUAACAGGUCUUCGGAUGCUGACGAGUGGCGAACGGGUGAGUAAUACAUCGGAACGUGCCUAGUAGUGGGGGAUAACUACUCGAAAGAGUGGCUAAUACCGCAUGAGAUCUACGGAUGAAAGCAGGGGAUCGCAAGACCUUGUGCUACUAGAGCGGCCGAUGGCAGAUUAGGUAGUUGGUGGGAUAAAAGCUUACCAAGCCGACGAUCUGUAGCUGGUCUGAGAGGACGAUCAGCCACACUGGGACUGAGACACGGCCCAGACUCCUACGGGAGGCAGCAGUGGGGAAUUUUGGACAAUGGGCGCAAGCCUGAUCCAGCAAUGCCGUGUGCAGGAUGAAGGCCUUCGGGUUGUAAACUGCUUUUGUACGGAACGAAAAGCCCUGGGUUAAUACCCCGGGGUCAUGACGGUACCGUAAGAAUAAGCACCGGCUAACUCCGUGCCAGCCGCCGCAGUAAAAC
rnacentral:rRNA from 1 species